GAAGGAGUGACUGAGUGGUUAAAAGUGGCAGAUUGUAAAUCUGUUGGAAAGUUUCCUACGUAGGUUCGAAUCCUACUUCCUUCA
rnacentral:tRNA from 1 species